rnacentral:rRNA from 1 species
UACGUAGGUGGCAAGCGUUACUCGGAAUUACUGGGCGUAAAGCGUGCGCAGGCGGUUUUGUAAGCCAGAUGUGAAAUCCCCGGGCUUAACCUGGGAAUGGCAUUUGGGACUGCAAGGCUUGAGUGCGGCAGAGGAGACUGGAAUUCCCGGUGUAGCAGUGAAAUGCGUAGAUAUCAGGAGGAAUACCGAUGGCGAAGGCAGGUCUCUGGGCUGACACUGACGCUCAUGCACGAAAGCGUGGGGAGCAAACAGG